AAUGAACGCUGGCGGCAUGCCUAAUACAUGCAAGUCGAGCGGAGCGGCGGACGGGUGGGUAAUGCCUACGAAUCUGCCUGGUCGUGGGGACUAACGUCCGGUCACGGGAGCUUAUCCCGCAUCCUUUCAGAUGAGACUAGGUGGGAGUAGCUAGUUGGUGGGGUAAAGGCUUAACAAGGCGACGUUCCGUAACUGGUCUGAGAGGAUGAUCAGUCACACUGGAACUGAGACACGGUCCAGACUCCUACGGGAGGCAGCAGUAGGGAAUAUUGGGCAAUGGGCGAAAGCCUGAUCGAGCAACGCCGCGUGAGUGAAGAAGGUCUUCGGAUUGUAAAACUCUGUAAGUAGGGAGGCGGUACCAACAGAGUAAGCAACGGCUAACUUCGUGCCAGCAGCCGCGGUAAUUC
rnacentral:rRNA from 1 species